AGAGUUUGAUCCUGGCNCAGGAUGAACGCUAGCUACAGGCUUAACACAUGCAAGUCGAGGGCAGCAUGGUCUUAGCUUGCUAAGGCCGAUGGCGACCCGGCGCACGGGUGAGUAACACGUAUCCAACCUGCCGUCUACUCUUGGACAGCCUUCUGAAAGGAAGAUUAAUACAAGAUGGCAUCAUGAGUCCGCAUGUUCACAUGAUUAAAGGUAUUCCGGUAGACGAUGGGGAUGCGUUCCAUUAGAUAGUAGGCGGGGUAACGGCCCACCUAGUCUUCGAUGGAUAGGGGUUCUGAGAGGAAGGUCCCCCACAUUGGAACUGAGACACGGUCCAAACUCCUACGGGAGGCAGCA
rnacentral:rRNA from 1 species